AAUCCCGUGAACCAUCGAGUCUUUGAACGCAAGUUGCGCCCCAAGCCUUCUGGCCGAGGGCACGUCUGCCUGGGUGUCACAAAUCGUCGUCCCCAUCCUUUACGGAUAAGGGACGGAAGUUGGUCUCCCGUGUGUUACCGCACGCGGUUGGCCUAAAUCUGAG
rnacentral:rRNA from 1 species